rnacentral:rRNA from 1 species
GACGAACGCUGGCGGCGUGCUUAACACAUGCAAGUCGAACGGAAAGGCCCUGCUUUUGUGGGGUGCUCGAGUGGCGAAAGGGUGAGUAACACGUGAGUAACCUGCCCUUGACUUUGGGAUAACUUCAGGAAACUGGGGCUAAUACCGGAUAGGAGCUCCUGCUGCAUGGUGGGGGUUGGAAAGUUUCGGCGGUUGGGGAUGGACUCGCGGCUUAUCAGCUUGUUGGUGGGGUAGUGGCUUACCAAGGCUUUGACGGGUAGCCGGCCUGAGAGGGUGACCGGCCACAUUGGGACUGAGAUACGGCCCAGACUCCUACGGGAGGCAGCAGUGGGGAAUAUCGCACAAUGGGCGGAAGCCUGAUGCAGCAACGCCGCGUGCGGGAUGACGGCCUUCGGGUUGUAAACCGCUUUCGCCUGUGACGAAGCGUGAGUGACGGUAAUGGGUAAAGAAGCACCGGCUAACUACGU